UACAGAGGGUGCGAGCGUUAAUCGGAAUUACUGGGCGUAAAGCGUGCGUAGACGGUUAUUUAAGUCGGGUGUGAAAGCCCCGGGCUCAACCUGGGAAUUGCAUUCGAGACUGAAUAGCUAGGGUACGGUAGAGGGAAGUGGAAUUUCCGGUGUAGCGGUGAAAUGCGUAGAUAUCGGAAGGAACAUCAGUGGCGAAAGCGACUUCCUGGGCCAGUACCGACGUUCAGGCACGAAAGCGUGGGGAGCAAACAGG
rnacentral:rRNA from 1 species